rnacentral:rRNA from 1 species
AGCAGCCGCGGUAAUUCCAGCUCCAAUAGCGUAUAUUAAAGUUGUUGCAGUUAAAAAGCUCGUAGUUGAAUUUCGGGAUCAAUUAAUUGGUCGUGCCUCUGGUACGUACUGAUUUUAUUGGUUUCUCCCUUCUGACGAACCAUGAUGUCAUUAAUUUGGUGUCGUGGAGAAUCAGGACUGUUACUUUGAAAAAAUUAGAGUGUUUAAAGCAAGCUAACGCUUGAAUACAUUAGCAUGGAAUAAUGAAAUAGGACGUUUGAUCCUAUUUUGUUGGUUUCUAGGAUCGACGUAAUGAUUAAUAGGGAUAGUUGGGGGCAUUAGUAUUCAAUUGUCAGAGGUGAAAUUCUUGGAUUUAUUGAAGACUAACUACUGCGAAAGCAUUUGCCAAGGAUGUUUUCAUUAAUCAAGAACGAAAGUUAGGGGAUCGAAGACGAUCAGAUACCGUCGUAGUCUUAACCAUAAGCUAUGCCGACUAGGGAUCGGAUGAUGUUAAUUUUUAAUGA